rnacentral:rRNA from 1 species
GAUGAACGCUGGCGGCGUGCCUAAUACAUGCAAGUCGAGCGAACGGACGAGAAGCUUGCUUCUCUGAUGUUAGCGGCGGACGGGUGAGUAACACGUGGAUAACCUACCUAUAAGACUGGUAUAACUUCGGGAAACCGGAUCUAAUACCGGAUAAUAUUUUGAACCGCAUGGUUCAAAAGUGAAAGACGGUCUUGCUGUCACUUAUAGAUGCAUCCGCGCUGCAUUAGCUAGUUGUUCAGGUAACGGCUUACGAAGGCAACGAUGCAUAGCCGACCUGAGAGGGUGAUAGGCGACACUGGAACUGAGACACGGUCCAGACUCCUACGGGGCGCAGCAGUCGGGAAUCUUCCGCAAUGGGGGAAAGCAUGACGGAGCAACGCCGAGUGAGUGAUGACGGUCUUCGGAUCGUAAAACUCUGUUAUGAGGGAAGAACCUAUGUGUAAGUAAAUGUGCACAUAUUGACGGUAACUAAUCAGAAAGCAACGGCUAACUACGUG